rnacentral:tRNA from 1 species
GUCCGUUUAGCUCAUGGGUUAGAGCACCCGGUUUUUAAUGCAAUGGUCAACGGUUCGAUUUCGAGAAUGGAUU